rnacentral:lncRNA from 1 species
ACCCUUAUCUCCCUUCGCUGACUCUCUUUUCGGACUCAGCCCACCUGCACCCAGGUGAAAUAAACAGCUUUACUGCUCUCACACAAAGCCUGUUUGGUGGUCUCUUCACACGGACGCGCAUGAAAUUUGGUGCCAUGACUCGGAUCGGGGGACCUCCCUUGGGAGAUCAAUCCCCUGUCUUCCUGUUCUUUGCUCCGUGAGAAAGAUCCACCUACAACCUCAGGUCCUCAGACCGACCAGCCCAAGGAACAUCUCACCAAUUUUAAAUCAGGAGCUUACUACACGUGCCGGCAAUCUGGCCACUGGGCCAAGGAAUGCCCGCAGCCCGGGAUUCCUCCUAAGCCGCGUCCCAUCUGUGUGGGACCCCACUGGAAAUCGGACUGUUCAACUCACCUGGCAGCCACUCCCAGAGCCCCUGGAACUCUGGCCCAAGGCUCUCUGACUGACUCCUUCCCAGAUCUUCUUGGCUUAGCGGCUGAAGACUGACACUGCCCGAUUGCCUUGGAAGCCCCCUAAACCAUCACGGAUGCCGAGCUUCGGGUAACUCUCACAGUGGAAGACAGAGUCUUGCUCUGUUGCCAGAUUGGAGUGAAGUGGCGCGAUCUCAGCUCACUGCACCCUCUGACUCCCUGAUUCAAGUGAUGCUCCUGCCUCAGACUCCCAAGUAUUUCCUAUAUCUUCCUGUCUUUUCCAUGGCCAAAAAUGAUCAAGUAAAGAACAUUAAAGAAGAAAUAAAUUACUACAUAUUAAAAAAUACAUACUGUAAGAUGUUCUUUGUACAAAAAUGUGACAACUUCAAUAAGAGUAACUUGGACAACCUGAGGCAUUAAUUGAGGAUCAAUAUGAUGACUUUACAUUGAGAAUCACAUAUACCCUCUGAAUAAAUUUAAAAAAUGAAAUUUUUUAAUUUUCAUUAAAAAUUAAAUUUUUUUGAGUGAUGAAAAUACUCAAUCACAUUAUUUUCAAAUUGUUGAUAAGCAUGGAAAUUAUCAGAGAACCAGAAUAUUCAAGGUUUAUCUUUCCUGUUUUUGUCUUAAAUCACAACUAUGUGUUAAAUAAUUUGUAUGACCUAUUUCAGUGGCAGUAGGUUAAAUAAAAUUCUGUUUGUAUCUCCUG